CACUAUUCAUAAACUGUAAAUAAAAUUCAAAAUUUACCAGAGUACUAUGAAUAUAUAAAAAUUUAAAACUCAAAGGGCUUGGCGGUGUUUUAGACCUAUCAGGGGAACCUGUCUCGUAAUCGACAAUCCACGUUGAACCUAACCCUAUUUUGUACUCAGUUUGUAUACCGUCGUCGUCAGGUAACUUUUAAAAAAUUAGAAGUUAGCAAUAAAAAUAAUAAUAGAUUAAUACGUCAGAUCAAGGUGCAGCUAAUAAAAGGGAGAGGAUGGGUUACAAUUAUAUUAUUUAUAAUUACGGAUAGUUAAAUGAAAAUAUAACUUGAAGGAGGACUUGAAAGUAAAAUAAAAUAUAUAAGCGAUUUGAAUGAGGCUCUGAAACGUGC
rnacentral:rRNA from 1 species